GAGCAGUGUGAGUGAGAUCGUGCCACUGCACUCCAGCCUGGGCUACAGAGGGAGACUCAGUCUCAAAAAAAAAGUCCUUUUCUUGAGACACCUGACUGCCAUCUGUCAGAAAAUGCAUACACUUAUCUAUACCAUCUACGAUGCAAAUAUAUUGGCUUAUUGGAACAAAUUCUAAAACAAUUUUCAAUAAUACAAAUUCAGAGAUUAAAUAAAAUAUUAUUAAGUCUUUGCCAACCACAGAAUUACUUUCUUCUUAGUUAAUGAUUAAACUGUCAGUUGCGUCUGGUUGUAUUAUGUAAUACAGAUUCUAUUACAGCUGACUACUUUUUAAAAAUCUCCUAAGCUGCUUGUAAACAACUGGAAAAAUAUUGCUAAUUUACAAUUUAUCAAAAUUUCUGAAACUAACACAGACCAUAUAACAUUUAGCAUUUGUUGAGGAUCUACUCAGGUGUCAGGUGUCAUUUAAUUGUCACAGCCAAGUGGAAGGUUAAAUAUUAUCAUCUGUGCUUUACAGAUAAGGAAACAGACUCAAAAUAAUUAACGUGAUUCAAUUUCACAUCUAAUAAUUAGCAAGGCUGAAGAGCUGAAAAUUUUUUUUGAGACAGAGUCUCACCCUGUCACUUGGGCUGGAGUGCAGUGGCGCCAUCUCAGCUCACUGCAACCUCUGCCUCCCAGGUUCAAGCGAUUCUUCUGCCUCAGCCUCCCAAGUAGCUGGGAUUACAGGCGCCCGCCACUACGCCUAGCUAAUUUUUUGUAUUUUUAGUAGAGUCGGGUUUUCACCAUGUUGGGAAGGCUGGUCUCGAACUCCUGACCUCGUGAUUCACCCGCCUCGGCCUCCCACAGUGCUGGGAUUACAGGCAUGAGCCACCGCGCCCAGCUUCUAUAUGCUUUUAGGAUAACCUACACAUUAUACAUUUUCACAGGUUUGUUUAUUUAUUUACUUGAGACGGGGUCUCACUCUGUAGCCCCAGCUGGAGUGCAGUGAUGCAAUCUUGGCUCACUGCAACCUCUGCCCCUCCUGAGUUCAAGUUAUUCUCCUGCCUCAGCCUCCUGAGUAGCUAGGAUUACAGGUGCCUGCCACCAUACCCAGCUAAUUUUUGUAUUUUUAGUAGAGACGGGGUUUUGCCAUAUUGGCCAGGCUGGUUUCAAACUCCCGACCUCAGGUGAUCCACCCGCCUCGGCCUCCCAAAGUGUUGGAAUUACAGGUGUGAGGCACUGCACCUGGCCAGGAUAAUUUAUUUAAAAGAUCCUAAGAAAAAUUAUUAAUGCUUGGAUAAAUAAAAGUUAUGCUAGGUAAAAUGGUCUCCAAUGUUUACCAAGGGGCAAUUUUCAGAAAAUAGUUUACCAGCAGUUUAUUUCUGUUGUUGUUUCUUUGACUACCAUGAAGCCAGAAUCAAACUGGCUUCUUUUUGUAAAUUUGUAAAAACUGAGCAUAUAUACUGUACACCAAUUAAGAAAAGCUUAACUGAAUCAACAUAGAUACAUGCAAUCACAUGAAAUAAAAAGAAAUGAGUGAAGGACAAAAUUAAGAUGUUGCUGUUUUACUGUAAAUAACUGACAAUUCCUGUGAUUUAUGUAAAUCGGUAGGCAGUGUAGCAAGUCAUUAACUUCAAUGCUUGCAGCUAAACAGCUAGCAUUAAAAUACUAUCUCCACCAUCUGCUACAUGUGACCAAGUUCCCUGGUCUCUCCUUGCUUCAGUUUCCACAUCUAUAAAACGGGGAUAUUAUCUAUUCUCAUUGAGCUAUGAGGAUUCUAUGCCUCACUAUAUGUAAAGUGUAUGAAGUACAAAGAGUGCUCUGUGUCAGCUCUUGUUGUUAUAUUAAUAAUUUAUCUAAUUAUAUAUAUAAUCAUAUACAUUCCAUCUUCUCUCAACCACAGGGAAAAAAGUUAAAAGCCUCUGAUUUUAUUAAUAAGUCAUCAAAAAUCAAGAAAGAUAUAGUCAAAGAGAAAAAAAGGUAUAAAUAAAUAGAGAAAACAAAUAAUGCAAAAUGCUAUCAAUUUGUGAAUUUAGGUGGAUAGUAAAUAAGUGUUCAUAGUACUAGCUGAAUUUUUCCAUACUUUGAAAUUUUCCAUAGUAAAAGGUUGGGUAAUUACAAAAAUGCAAACAAAAAAUAUAAGAAAUAACAAAACCAGAACUUGUCCUAAUAAAAAACCAUUCUAGGCCAGAUGCAGUGGCUCACACUUAUAAUCCCAGCACUUCAGGAGGCCAAGGUGGUAGGAUUGCUUGGUUGGUCUUGGUUCAAGACCAACAAAGUAAAACCCCAUUUCUACAAAAAAUUAAAAAAUUAGCUGGACAUGCCUGUAGUCCCAGCUAUGAGGAAGGCUGAGGUGAGAGGACUGCUUGAGUCCUGGAAGUAGGAUGCAGUGAGCUAUGAUGGUGUCAUUACACUCCAGCCUAGGCAACAAAGCUAGCUAGACUUUGUCUCAAAAAAACAAAACAAAACAAAAACCUACUCUAUAAUAUCUACAAUUUAGUAUCUUUCAAAGCUAGAGUUUUUUGUUUUGGUUUUAUUCUCACAGUCUAAAAAGAAUAUUUUGAAUACAGAUGCUAAAAAAAUUCCAUGGAAUCAGCUGUGGCCACUGUAGGUCUCCUAUCAACACAAAUACAAACAACAAACAGCCUAGAAACCAAUGGGAGGAACCACACACUCCCAACCAGACACCCAGUCAUCACCUGUAACCCACAGGGCCUAGGGAAAUAUAAAACAUUAAGGGGAGAAUACGGACAGUAAGAGUUAAAUAAGCACCCACUGAGCAUCCCAAAUCCGAAAAUCUGAAAUCUAAAAUAUGAAACUUUUUGAGCACCAAUAAGAUGCUCAAAGGAAAUGCUCACGGGAGCAUUGUGGAUCUCAGAUUUUUGGAUUUGGGAUGCUGUGCCGGGUAAGUAUAAUGCAACGAUUCAAAAUCCGAAACAAUUCUAAAUCCAAAAUAUUUCUGGUCCCAGGCAUUUUGGAUAAGGGCUACUCAAGAUAUACUCCUUUAAUAACAGUUAAAAGAUGUAGCAUCCAAUUAAAAAUGUAAAGGUCAUCUUUGUACUCCUUGCAAAUCAAGUGAAGAUUUAAGAGAAUAUUUUCACAAGGUCAAACAUUUUAAAUUGUCUAUACAAAGAAGACUGAAUCUUCUAAGUCUGCCUUGAUUCUAGGUAAUGUUACCUUACUCCAAGAUCAACUGAGCAAAACCUCCACAUUUAUAUUCUGGAAUAUAAAAAUGUAAGACUGAAGUUUGCUAAUAAAAGUAAUCAAAUAAUAAUUUUUAUUGGCUUUGAAAGGGCUGCUAGAUUUUAUUAUGGUUCAUGUUCUAGAAAUUCAUGACAGUAUAAACAGAAAAAUGCUACAAAUAUCCAUAUAAUUUUCUGCCUUCCUCCCAUACUCCCAUUCUAAGUCAGCUGAGACUAGUCCCAAAUUUCUGCAGAUCAGUCUAA
rnacentral:lncRNA from 1 species